rnacentral:rRNA from 1 species
CCUACGGGAGGCAGCAGUGGGGAAUAUUGCACAAUGGGCGAAAGCCUGAUGCAGCAACGCCGCGUGAAGGAAGAAGGCCUUCGGGUCGUAAACUUCUGUCCUUGGGGAAGAAGAACUGACGGUACCCAAGGAGGAAGCCCCGGCUAACUACGUGCCAGCAGCCGCGGUAAUACGUAGGGGGCAAGCGUUAUCCGGAUUUACUGGGUGUAAAGGGAGCGCAGGCGGCGUGGCAAGUCAGAUGUGAAAACCCGGGGCCCAACCCCGGGAGUGCAUUUGAAACUGCCAUGCUGGAGUGCCGGAGAGGG